ACUUAAUAGGACCCAUAUCCCAUACCAUGUCUCCUCAUUAGACCCAUGAUGUGAUUUUCAAAUUUUUUUCACCCACUAAAUAUUUUGUUCUCUUCUCUCUACCCUUAUAUAUCUCUUGCUUUUCUUUCUGGAAAAAAAAAAAUAAGAGAGAGAAAAAUUACUAGAAAUUUAAUAUUGUGCUGCUAGCUAGCUAGCCCUGAUCGAUGUCAAGCAGCAACAAAGGCAAAGAUGUAGCAGAAGGAUCAUCAAGAUCAUCUUCUGCUUCUGUUGCUGGAGCUGGAGGUGGUAGCGGUAGCGGUAGUGGUAGCGGUGAUCUGCAUAAUCAUCAGCAACAACAGGCACCUCCACUUAGCCGCUAUGAGUCACAGAAGAGGCGCGACUGGAACACGUUUGGUCAGUACCUGAGGAACCAAAGGCCUCCAGUGGCACUUUCACAGUGCAACUCCAAUCAUGUGCUUGAUUUUCUGCGCUAUUUAGAUCAGUUUGGAAAGACAAAGGUGCACUUACAAGGGUGUGUGUUUUUUGGUCAGCCUGAGCCUCCAGGGCCUUGCACUUGCCCACUCAGACAAGCAUGGGGUAGCCUUGAUGCACUCAUCGGUCGCCUUAGAGCUGCUUUUGAAGAAAAUGGUGGCUUGCCUGAGGCCAACCCAUUUGCAAGUGGUACUAUCCGAGUUUACUUGCGUGAUGUAAGGGACUCCCAAGCUAAGGCUCGUGGAAUUCCUUAUAAGAAGAAAAAGAAGAAGAGAAAUCCAAUAUUGAAGCCCAGCAACCAUGAUGAUAAUUCCAACUUUCCUAUGCAGUAGUCAUCUCUAUCUGGGUAUUCCCUUCCCCUUCCUUUCCUGUCCCAUCAAAAUAUGUUUAAGUGUCUAAUGAAGACAAUAGACACACACACAAGUCGCUAAAUAAUUAAUUCCCAGGUCAUGAACUCUCCACCAUGUUUUGAAGCUCUACUGAACUGGAGAUUAUAACUCUAUUCAAGUCUUCCUUGGAUCAAGUCCUUUGAUGUUUUUAUAUAGCUCAAGCACUGUAUUUAUUGUUUGAAUGACAAUUAUAGCUAGCAAUGAAGUUGGUGAAGAAAAACUGAAUGAGCUGGGUAAGUUCCUAUCUUUUAUCCACGUUUUUUGUAGGUUAAUCGGUACAUUUUCAAUGUAGUAAACUUUAUACCAUGAACUAGCUAUCUCCCAAGUUUAUGUUUAUUGAUGCAUAUAUAUGCCAUCCUUUAAAUUAA